AGUGGAUGGGGAGCAACCUAGUUGUGCGUGUGUAAAGGUAGUGCCAAGAAAAGCGAUGAUCAUGUUGAAAAUCAAUUCCCGGUACCCGAAACCGACACAGGUGGGCAAGUAGAGAAUACUAAGGGGCGCGAGGUAACUCUCUCCAAGGAACUCGGCAAAAUGACCCCGUAACUUAGGGAGAAGGGGUGCCACCGAGAGGUGGUCGCAGUGAAGAGGCCCAGGCGACUGUUUAGCAAAAACAUAGGUCUCUGCAAACUCGAAAGAGGAGGUAUAGGGGCUGACGCCUGCCCAGUGCCGGAAGGUUAAAGAAGUUGGUCAGUUUUAGGAUGAAGCUAGCGACUGAAGCCCCGGUGAACGGCGGCCGUAACUAUAACGGUCCUAAGGUAGCGAAAUUCCUUGUCGGGUAAGUUCCGACCCGCACGAAAGGCGUAACGAUCUGGGCGCUGUCUCGGAGAGAGGCUCGGCGAAAUAGGAUUGUCUGUGAAGAUACGGACUACCUGCAUUUGGACAGAAAGACCCUAUGAAGCUUUACUAUAGCUUGGAAUUGUGUUCGGGCUUCCUGUGCGCAGGAUAGGUGGGAGGCGUAGAAGGUAUUCUUGUGGGGAUACUGGAGCCAACGGUGAGAUACCACUCUCAGGAGGCUAGAAUUCUAACUUAAUUAAGGACAGUUUCAGGUGGGUAGUUUGACUGGGGCGGUCGCCUCCAAAAAGGUAACGGAGGCGUACAAAGGUUCCCUCAGACUGGUUGGAAAUCAGUCGAAGAGUGCAAAGGCAGAAGGGAGCUUGACUGCGAGAAGUACAGUUCGAGCAGGGUGGAAACACGGUCUUAGUGAUCCGACGGUGCUGUGUGGAAGGGCCGUCGCUCAACGGAUAAAAGUUACUCUAGGAUAACAGGCUGAUCUCCCCCAAGAGCUCACAUCGACGGGGAGGUUUGGCACCUCGAUGUCGGCUCAUCGCAACCUGGGGCGGAAGUACGUCCCAAGGGUUGGGCUGUUCGCCCAUUAAAGCGGUACGUGAGCUGGGUUCAGAACGUCGUGAGACAGUUCGGUCCAUAUCCGAUGUAGGCGUGAGAAUACUGAGAGGAGCCUUCCUUAGUACGAGAGGGCCGGGAAGGACGCACCGCUGGUGUACCUGUUAUGAUGCCAAUUGUAAACGCAGGGUAGCCAAGUGCGGAGAGGAUAACCGCUGAAAGCAUCUAAGUGGGAAGCCCACCUCAAGAUGAGUAUUCUGGUGUAAGGUCACGGGAAGACGACCCGUAAAUAGGCACGAGGUGGAAGUGCAGAGAUGUAUGAAGCCGAAGUGUACUAAUAGACCGUCGGCUUGAUC
rnacentral:rRNA from 1 species